ensembl:snRNA U6 U6 spliceosomal RNA
GUGUUCACUUCGGCAGCACAUAUACUAAAAUUGGAACCAUACAGAUAAGAUUAGCAUGGCCCCUGCGCAAGGAUGACAUGCAAACUCGUGAAGUGUUCCAUAUUCUA